rnacentral:rRNA from 1 species
UACGGGGGGGGUAAGCGUUGUUCGGAAUUACUGGGCGUAAAGGGCUCGUAGGCGGCCAACUAAGUCAGACGUGAAAUCCCUCAGCUUAACUGGGGAACUGCGUCUGAUACUGGAUGGCUUGGAUUCGGGAGAGGAAUGCGGAAUUCCAGGUGUAGCGGUGAAAUGCGUAGAUAUCUGGAGGAACACCGGUGGCGAAGGCGGCAUUCUGGACCGACAUUGACGCUGAGGAGCGAAAGCCAGGUGAGCAAACGGG